CUACGGGGGGCUGCAGUGGGGAAUAUUGGACAAUGGGGGAAACCCUGAUCCAGCAAUGCCGCGUGUGUGAAGAAGGCCUGCGGGUUGUAAAGCACUUUCGGUUGGGAGGACUGCUUCUAGCACUAAUAUUGUUGGAAGUUGACGUUACCUUCAGAAGAAGCACCGGCUAACUCCGUGCCAGCAGCCGCGGUAAUACGGAGGGUACAAGCGUUAAUCGGAAUUACUGGGCGUAAAGCGCGCGUAGGCGGCUAGAUCAGUCGGGUGUGAAAGCCCCGGGCUUAACCUGGGAACUGCAUCCGAUACUGUCUAGCUUGAGUACAGGAGAGGAGAGUGGAAUUCCACAUGUAGCGAUGAAAUGCGUAGAUAUGUGGAGGAACACCAAUGGCGAAGGCAGCUCUCUGGCCUGAUACUGACGCUGAGGUGCGAAAGCGUGGGGAGCAAACAGGAUUAGAUACCCUAGUAGUC
rnacentral:rRNA from 1 species